AUGGGGAGCAGCAAUAGUUUUGGGGAUAGAAGAAGAGAAGCAGUAGGAGAUUGGAGAAGGAGCAGCAGAGAUCGGGCGCAAGCAGAGCAGCAUCAGGGACGUGGGAAGAGCAGCAACAGCGUGGGGAUGGUCGCGCGGGGCACCAGGCACCUCGUCUGGUCGAGCGCGCGAGCAUGGGGUGGAGGCGCGGUGGUGAUGCGAUGGCUCUGGUGGCUGGAUGGAUGGGCGGUGUGUGCUGGCGGCGGCGUGGGGAUGGAUUGGUGCUGGUGGAUGCUGGUAAUGGAGCGGUGGCGCGCCGCCACGCCGGCCUGGCCGCGGCGGCGGCUGGUGGUGGGGAAGGUGGGGUGA
rnacentral:rRNA from 1 species